AUUGCAUACAAAUCCUUGAAGAUAGUAGAAAUGUAGACAAAUUUAAUAUUUACGGUGUUUUACAUAUAUGCAGUUACAUGCAAUUAUGGAAGGUGUCUACUUUGAUUAAUAAAGUGUCUAUGGAUAAUAAAACAAGGCAAUUGAAAGCGUGAGAUCAUGUUGCGGUUCAAGGUACAGUCUGCUGUCUACAAAUACAUCACGGUAUAUUUAUCGGCCACGAAAAAGGUUUCGCCCAUGAUUCAGACUCUUCAAAUGUUUGAGAGAGCGGUGUCCACCUGUCCACGAGCCACUUCCGUUCCCACGUGACUCAUGGAGACGUAUUCCUGUGUGC